AGUGAAAAACAAAUCUUCUCCUAUCUACUACUUGAAAGGACCGCACUGCACAACUGGGUCAGCAUGUAGUGUGUAAACCAUCCUUGUUUUAGAAAAUUCUUUCUUUGUAACUGUCUUGUACUCCCCUCCCACUCAUAAAUGCAAAUAGCUCUUCUUGUUGGAGUAGACCGCAUAGAAAAAAAGAGAAACACCUUUUGAGAGAUUCCAUUUUAAGUCAACCAGGAGGCCCGAUCAGAGAAAGUAGUUACAGAAUUGAAACAAAUAAUGCCAACUGCAUUGAUCACAUGGGAGCAGGGUGACAGAAGAAGCCCACCUUGGCUCAGUGAGGCUGACAGCCUAACUCCUCUGUGAGCUGCUUUCCACAUGGAUAUGAGCGAGGGGCAAUGUGGCCUGCUGCUUGGGGCCAUCUGGGUUGGAACCCCAGCACGUACUCCCCAGCCCUCCAACUUUGGAUGAGUCACAAACCUCUCAACCUUGGUCUCCUGCUGUGUCUAAGACCCAGCCCUCCUCUGUGUAAGGCUCACUCCUAGGCCACGUGGAUACAGCAGAACCAGGGCCAACCAAGUUCCACUCUCAAGGCGUUUACACUGUGGUGGGAAAGUCAGGAUAUGAAGAACAGGAGUCCUGUACAGAUUUGAAGACCAAAAUGGAGAAAACAGAAAUGAUUGAUGAAGCAGGAGUGAAAUGGACACGUUAUAUGCAAAACAAGGGGGGCACUGGCUGUGGAGUAAUGGGCCCUUUGUGCUGAAACGUGGUCGUGUUGCAGACCAUAAGCACCUUUGAGUUCAUGGUGUUGGAAAGAAAGUGACAGGUAAUCAUGUGAAUGAAUGAGUGAGUGAAUAAAGAAUUAUGUGCUGGGCUUGCCUUAACCAUUGCCAGGAAACAGGGGUGCCACCUUCCUGGAAGACUGGAUGAGCCAGACUUCAUGCAGAACUAUCUUGGGGAUCCCUGGGUGGCUCAGCAGUUUGGAGCCUGCCUUCGGCCCAGGGCAUGGUCCUGGGGUUCCCGGGAUUGAAUCCCAUGUCGGGCUCCCUGCAUGGAGCCUGCUUCUCCCUCUGCCUG